UACGGAGGGUGCAAGCGUUGUUCGGAAUUAUUGGGCGUAAAGCGCGUGUAGGCGGUUCGUUAAGUCUGAUGUGAAAGCCCGGGGCUCAACCCCGGAAGUGCAUUGGAUACUGGCGGACUUGAGUACGGGAGAGGGAAGUGGAAUUCCGAGUGUAGGGGUGAAAUCCGUAGAUAUUCGGAGGAACACCGGUGGCGAAGGCGGCUUCCUGGACCGAUACUGACGCUGAGACGCGAAAGCGUGGGGAGCAAACAGG
rnacentral:rRNA from 1 species